AGCUGCUGGGAGCUGCUGGGAGCUGCUGGGACAAGAUACUUCACAUAACUGGAUUAGGUUUGAAAACUACUGGCAAAUACUAAACACAACACAGAACACAAAAAAAUACAUUAGCUGAACCUGAACUACCCGGAACAAUGACACACAUUUACAUGUUAUUAUUUAGCUGAUCUGUUAUCAAAAGGACUUACUGAUGCUCAGGGAAGUUCUGAGGGCCUCCCAGUCAGGACCAAGAGACAAUCCUGUUCACAGUGUAGCAACAUCUCAUCUCAGACACACCACAAGAAGGUUUGGUCACACAACCACUUCCUAACGAGCACACACUUGAAAAUAGUUUAGGAGUAUACUUUAAUGACAAGAGUGCUUAAACACACUUCUUAAGUCAGGAGUCACCGACCUCCUGCUUCACAGCUGGGACAUCUGCAGUACAACAGACAGCACAGCGUCAGGUGAGAGGCUGGGUCACCUCAGCUCCAGGUGAGAGGCUGGGUCACCUCAGCUCCAGGUGAAAGGCUGGGUCAUAGCUCCAGGUGAGAGGCUGGGUCACCUCAGUUCCAGGUGAGAGGCUGGGUCAUAGCUCCAGGUGAGAGGCUGGGUCACCUUAGCUCCAGGUGAGAGGCUGGGUCACCUCAGCUCCAGGUGAGAGGCUGGGUCACCUCAGUUCCAGGUGAGAGGCUGGGUCACCUCAGCUCCAGGUGAGAGGCUGGGGCUGCCAGUGGAGGGUCGGUCUGACUGGGAGAGGCCUCACUGACGUUACAAGCUCUCCUCCGGCUCUUCCAGGAAUGGGCUGGCAGACCGGUUUAUACUGGUUUAUAUUUAGGGGUUAUGAGAGUGAAUGGAGUUUUAUGGUCUGCUAUAAAUGUCAUUCUCCAAAGAGGGGUGUUGGGGGUGAGUGUGGAGGCUGAUGUAUGUACAGUUCCUCCAGGUCUUGAUGCUUCCUGCUUCCCCAUGGGAAAGGAGCUGAAACAAAGAAUCUGUCCAGUGGCAGUCCCUGUGUGUGUGCUGGGCUGGGCUGGAAGGGCGCGGUGCAACACCCAGAGGAACGGCUUGUUUACUUUUGUCUUUUUGUUUUCUGACUUUGUCUGGAGGUUUUCUCUCUGGGAGUGAAAGGCAAAUAAACACAUUCCUGACGAUGUGGCGGAUCACAUAGUAGAAAAGUGGACACCAGGCUGGGAGCUGAAGGGAGCCACUCCCCCCCCCCUCCUCAUCCUCCUCAACCUUCCUCCCUUUGAUUCAAGGAAUGAAACACAACAUAUUGCCCCGCCUUUAGGGCGUCAUCCCAUGUCUGAUUGGAUGAAUGUUUCAGGAAGAGGAAGUGGUUGCCAGCACAGCAGAGGAGCUGAAACAGAGCUAGUUUGGUAGCUAGCGACACUUUUAUAAACACGUUAUAUCUCUA